rnacentral:rRNA from 1 species
CACGUAGGGCGCAAGCGUUGUCCGGAAUUAUUGGGCGUAAAGAGCUCGUAGGCGGACUGUCACGUCUGCUGUGAAAAGCUGGGGCUUAACCCUGGCCUUGCAGUGGAUACGGGCAGACUAGAGGUAGGUAGGGGAGAAUGGAAUUCCCGGUGUAGCGGUGAAAUGCGCAGAUAUCGGGAGGAACACCGGUGGCGAAGGCG